GAUAACGUUGCGUCAGCAACGGCCCGUAGGGCGAGGCGAAGCCGAGUCAUCCUGCACGACCCACCA
rnacentral:sRNA from 3 species